rnacentral:lncRNA from 1 species
UUUCUCUGCGGCCAUCAUGGGAUCGUGCUCUUCUCGCUCGUUGAGCUGGUCCCUUCGCCGUGGCCUGCUGGUGACGGUCUGGAGCGAUGCUGAGCCCGGGCCCAGCCUCUCAGCUCCGCCUUGUGCGCUGCACAGAUCUAGGGGAGCCUGACGGGACGUUGACAACGUGGAAUAGGAGCAGUAUCAUCCCACCAUGAGGGUGUCCCCUUUCAAGUUCUCAGAACGGACGCAGGACUGCAGAUCUGUGCUGGCAGCAGCAGAGGCUAUAUUCCCAGAGGAGUCUCCAGCCGGCCUGAAAGCAAAUAUCCUAAGUGACAUGUCUGCCAAUUUUGUUCUGGGUGGGCACAUUUGGUAAUCCUGUCUGUACCACAGGAUCUUCUAUGCCUUUUAAAAAUAAACAUUUGUUUAUAAACCAGA